rnacentral:lncRNA from 1 species
AAUCCCCCCGGCUCUCUCUAGCUUCAACUUUUUAAGGAUUUUUUGUUCUCUUUUUUUUUUUUUGGUUUUGAUUGUGAUUUUUGGGUUGCUAGUAAACUAGGAAAUCUAGAGUUUUUGGUUCUCUGAGUUUCAAAAAGAAAAGAAAAGAUUUUUUUUUUAGGGUUUCUUCGAUUCUGCCUCUAAGGUUCUUUUUCAUUACUGUUUAUUAUUUAUUCUGCUAUUCGAGCAAUGGGUGUUGUUGGAUCCCAUCGUUUUUGGCCUCUGCCCAAUGACAUUUCUCGCUCCUGGUAUAAAGCCUUUUUUCCUUAUCGUAGUACGAUUGUUUGGAUCCUCUGUAUGGCCAGCUGGCCUUUCAAUUUUUUAUUUUGGAAUGUUCUUUAUGUUUGUUUUAAUUCUAACUUAGUUUUGUUUAAUUAUGGUGCUUGAUCUGUUUUUAGGUUGAAUUAAUUAGUCAAAUUAGCUUUUUGGUCAUUAGAAAGGCUUUGGUAAUAGGUUUAGAAAUUAGAACCUACAGAACAUAUCAAGGCCCAAUAUAAACCUUAAAAAAAACUUAUAUGUUAUGAAAUAAAUCUAAAAGAACAACUAUAAAAGAAAUAUAAGAGAAAGUAUUUAGAGGGAAAGAAAGUUUUUAGAAGGAGUAAAAAGAUUUUAUUCAAGUAUAUAUUUACAAAUGAAGUGAAAAUGUCUAUUUAUAAGCUAAUAACUCCUUAUCUAGAUUGAAUUUACAAGAUGAAGAUAACACUUAGAAAUUAGAUGGAUUAAAUAUUAAUCCAAUCUAAUUUACAUCAAAUCUAGAUAUAGAUAACAUAAAUGGAUAUUCAUAAAAAUAUUCAUAACACUCCCCCUUGAAUAUCCAUUGUAUUAAGAAUAUACCUCAUUAAAACCUUACUAGGAAAAAACCUCAUGAAAAAAAAAAUCUGAGUGAAGGAAAAAGAGUACAUAAUCUUUUCAAGAGUACACUUUUGAAAUACUGCCCCAUUAAAAAUCUUAUCAAGAAAAAUCCAGUGGGAAAAACCUUGAUGAAGGAAAAAACUACAGUGUGUAUUUUACUCCCCUUGAUGAUUGCAUUAUAGAGAUCUUUAAAAUGAUUCAUUCCAACUUUUCAAAUGUUGUAGUAAAAAAGGCUUUAGUGAACAAAUCUGCUAGAUUGUCACUUGGCUGAAUUUGUUGAACACUUAUUUCACCCUUUUCUUGGAGAUCAUUAGUGAAGAAGAAUUUUGGAGAAUUUUGUGUUUUAUUCAAUCGCCUUUAAUAUAUCCUUCCUUUAAUUGUGCUAUGCAAGUAGUAUUAUCCUCAUAUAACUUUGUUGGAAUUUUUUUCUUGGUUGACAAGCCACACGUUUCUUGAAUAUGUUGAGUUACAAAUCUUAACCAGACACAUUCACUAUUUGCUCAUGAGUUGCUAAAAUUUUUGUAAGGCUAGAAGAAGUAGCAACUAUAGUUUGCUUUAUAAAAUGCCAUGAAAUAGCCAUACCUCCAUAUGUGAACAAAUAAUCUAUAUGGGAUCGAGUUUUGUGUAGAUCAGAUAAAUAUCCUGCAUCUACAUAACUAAUUAAAAUUUAUUUUAAUGCAUUUGAAUAAUAUAAGCCCAUAUCCAUUGUUCCUCGGAGAUAUCGAAGUAUAUGUUUAAUUUCAUUCCAAUUUUUUUAAGUUGGAGAAGAACUAUAUCUUGCUAAUAAAUUCGCAACAAUUGAUAUAUCAAGUCAUGUAUUGCUAGUAAGAUACAUUAGUGCUCCAAUUUCAAUAAAAUACGGUACUUCAGGACCAAGGAGUUCUUUAUUAUCCUCACAAGGUCGGAAAAUGGUCUUUUUUAACAUCUAAUGACCUUACAACCAAUGGUGAACUCAAUGGAUAUGUUUUCUCCAUAUAAAAUCAUUUUAGCAUUUUUGUGAUAUAAUUUGAUUGAUGGACAAAAGUUCUAUUUGCCAAGUGUUCAAUCUAAAGACCCAACAAAACUUUAUUUUUUUCAAGAUUUUUUCUUUCAAAUUCUCUCUUUAAGUAAUCUACGGCCUUUAAUAACUUUUUAAGAGUUUCAAUAAUGUUCUAGUCAUCAACAUAAACAACAAUUAUAAUAAAUUCAUAUCUAAAUCCUUUUAUAAAAUACAUGGGCAUAUAGGAUUAUUUCUAUAACCUUCUUUCAACAAAUAUGCAUUAAGGCGAUUAUACCACAUGUGUCUGGAUUGCUUUAAUCCAUAUAAAGAUUUAUUUAAUUUAAUCGAAUAAAUUUCUUGGAAAUUCAAAUUUUGUACUUCAAGUAACUUAAAUACUUGAGGGAUUUUCAUAUAGAUAUCAAUAUCCAAUAAGCCAUAUAAAUAGGUUGUAGCUACACUCAUUAGACGUAUUUUAAUUUUCUCGUUUAUUGCUAGACUAGUUAAUAUAGAAUUGUAAUUGUAUCCACCACAGAGAAUAUCUUUUCAUCUUCAAUACUAGAUCUUUAGAGAAAACCUUGUGCGACAAGCUGUGCUUUAUAUCUCAUAAUCUCAUUUUUCACAUUUCGUAUUCGCACAAAUACGCAUGUAUAUAUAUCACUGGUUUUACACCAUUUGGUGUAUGAACUACAGGUCCAAAAACUUCACAUUUUGCAAUUAAAUACAUUUCCUCCUUAAUUGCAUCUUUCCACAUUGGCUAAUCCUUUCUAUAUCUACAUACUUCAAUAAAUAUAAGUUCAAGAUCCUCGCUUUUCUUUCAUAAUAUUGAGCUCUAUAUUAUAUACAAAAUAUCGUCGACGUUUAUUUACCAGUUCCGUCUUUUCUCAUCAUGACAUAAUUGAUUGAGAUUUCUUUAUUUUAACUAAUUUCAGGUACCUGAAUUUCUUCUGAAAAGUUUAUCAAUUAUGUCAAAGGUCUCUUCUAGAGUUUCUACUUCCUCGUCUGACCAUCUUAAAUAUUUGCUCUUUUCUUUUUCAAGGAUUUUAUCUUUGGAACCGAUUGGUCUUAACACUUCUGGCGUGCCUUGUCCUACAAGGACAUUAAUGUUAAUAAGAGCAUUUAUAGUUGGUAUAUAAGAUUUAGUUAUUCCUUUUAGAUCAGUAAAUACGUCUAGCA